rnacentral:rRNA from 1 species
AACAGGAUUAGAUACCCUGGUAGUCCACGCCCUAAACGAUGUCUACUAGUUGUCGGGUCUUAAUUGACUUGGUAACGCAGCUAACGCGUGAAGUAGACCGCCUGGGGAGUACGGUCGCAAGAUUAAAACUCAAAGGAAUUGACGGGGACCCGCACAAGCGGUGGAUGAUGUGGAUUAAUUCGAUGCAACGCGAAAAACCUUACCUACCCUUGACAUGUACGGAACCUUUGAGAGAUCAGAGGGUGCUCGAAAGAGAGCCGUAACACAGGUGCUGCAUGGCUGCCGUCAGCUCGUGUCGUGAGAUGUUGGGUUAAGUCCCGCAACGAGCGCAACCCUUGUCAUUAGUUGCUACGCAAGAGCACUCUAAUGAGACUGCCGGUGACAAACCGGAGGAAGGUGGGGAUGACGUCAAGUCCUCAUGGCCCUUAUGGGUAGGGCUUCACACGUCAUACAAUGGUACAUACAGAGGGCCGCCAACCCGCGAGGGGGAGCUAAUCCCAGAAAGUGUAUCGUAGUCCGGAUCGCAGUCUGCAACUCGACUGCGUGAAGUUGGAAUCGCUAGUAAUCGCGGAUCAGCAUGCCGCGGUGAAUACGUUCCCGGGUCUUGUACACACCGCCCGUCACACCAUGGGAGCGGGUUUUACCAGAAGUAGGUAGCUUAACCGCAAGGAGGGCGCUUACCACGGUAGGAUUCGUGACUGGGGUGAAGUCGUAACAAGGUAACC